rnacentral:rRNA from 1 species
GACGAACGCUGGCGGCGUGCUUAACACAUGCAAGUCGAACGGAAAGGCCCUGCUUUUGUGGGGUGCUCGAGUGGCGAACGGGUGAGUAACACGUGAGUAACCUGCCCUUGACUUUGGGAUAACUUCAGGAAACUGGGGCUAAUACCGGAUAGGAGCUCCUGCUGCAUGGUGGGGGUUGGAAAGUUUCGGCGGUUGGGGAUGAACUCGCGGCUUAGCAGCUUGUUGGUGGGGUAGUGGAUUACCAAGGCUUUGACGGGUAGCCGGCCUGAGAGGGUGACCGGCCACAUUGGGACUGAGAUACGGCCCAGACUCAUACGGGAGGCAGCAGUGGGGAAUAUUGCACAAUGGGCGGAAGCCUGAUGCAGAAACGCCGCGUGCGGGAUGACGGCCUUCGGGUUGUAAACCGCUUUCGCAUGUGACGAAGCGUGAGUGACGGUAAUGGGGAAAGAAGCACCGGCUAACUACGU